rnacentral:rRNA from 1 species
UCCUGGCUUAGGACGAACGCUGGCGGCGUGCUUAACACAUGCAAGUCGAACGGAGAAUUUGGGGAGCUUGCUUCCUGAAUUCUUAGUGGCGGACUGGUGAGUAACGCGUGAGCAACCUGCCCUAUACAUCGGGAUAACAGCUAGAAAUGGCUGCUAAUACCGAAUAUGACCACGAGGCGGCAUCGCCAAGGGGUGAAAGGGUUUACUGGUAUAGGAUGGGCUCGCGUCUGAUUAGCUUGUUGGCAGGGUAACGGCCUACCAAGGCAACGAUCAGUAGCCGACCUGAGAGGGUGAUCGGCCACACUGGGACUGAGAUACGGCCCAGACUCCUACGGGAGGCAGCAGUGGGGAAUAUUGGGCAAUUGGAGGAAACUCUGACCCAGCAACGCCGCGUGAAGGAUGAAGGCCCUCGGGUUGUAAACUUCUGUUCUAAGGGAAGAAAAAAUGACGGUACCUUAGGAGAAAGCCCCGGCAAACUACGUGCCAGCCGCCGC